UGAGACUGAGUCUUAUGUCUCUCUUUCUUUCUCUCUCUUCUUCUCUUGUUCUGUUGCUGCACUUUAUUCUGUUCAAAUUCGAUACUUUGCUGUUCACUGAGAACGAGGCUCUUUGUUUCAAAGAGGGGACAUAGAGAGAGAAAGAGUAGCACAGAGAGAGAGAGAGAGAGAGAGAGAGAGAGAAGGUUAUAAGCUUUCCCUCUCUGUAGUUUCUUUGUCUAAAACUUGCUUCCUUUAUCUCUCUCUCUCUAUGUCUGCUACAUUGUCUUGUUCUACUUCAAGAAUCUCAUCUCACUUCCACGCAUUAAAGCAUUUGUCUCUCUUGACUAAUUGCACUCUCAUAUUUUCUAGGUUUUUGCUUCUUUGCUCUUCCUUGGUGUUUCAUAAGCAUAAUAAGCACUAGAAGAGUAAACCAAGAGAAAACCAAUUGGUUCUUUGGUCUAUUUGGUUAAUUAUUUGCUUAGUUCAGAGUUUUUAGCCGAAAGCAAGAUACCCAAUUGUUAAUUGGUCCGUUUGGUCGUUUUCCAGUUUUUAUUUUGGUAGCAUUGGGAGUUUUUUUGGAGUUUAUAGACAGUACAGAGCUGUGCUUAUUGGCCUCUUGUAUCAAAGCUUAUUGUAGCAAGAAAACUAAAACUGGAGGAGACAAAUUCCUGGUGUCGAGUUCUGAUAUUUUUGAGGAUAUUAAACGGAACCCAAUAAUUUGUUGGGGUAGCAGAAAGUUGAAGAAGUGCUAUAUGAAGUAGUGGUGAAAAAUGAGAGAUGGGAACUCCAAGAAAAGCAAGCUCUCAUGGUCGAAAAAAAUGGUCAGGAAGUGGUUCAAUAUCAGGAGUAAAACUGAGGAAUUUCAAGCGGAUGAUGUUUAUGGAGGUGGUGAAGUGGAAUACAGGACUAGCUUCUCUGAGAGGGAGCCGUGCACCAUCAAGAAAAGCAAAACAGAGAAACUUACCAAGAAUCCAGAGCAGGUCCGGCGAGGGAGAAUGAAUCUUGAUCACCCUCGAAUCAUAGAUGUGCAGAACUACAGCAUUUUUGUAGCUACAUGGAAUGUGGCAGGAAGAUCCCCACCAAGUAAUUUGAGUCUUGAUGACUGGCUUCAUGCCUCACCUCCUGCAGACAUAUAUGUUCUUGGAUUUCAAGAGAUAGUUCCUUUGAAUGCUGGUAAUGUUCUUGGUGCAGAAGACAAUGGCCCUGCCAAAAAAUGGUUGGCCCUCAUUAGAAAGACUCUAAACAAUCUUCCUGGAGCUAGUGGAAGUGGUGGGUGUUAUACACCUUCUCCAAUCCCUGAACCAAUUGUAGAAAUGGAUGCAGAUUUCGAGGGAUCGUCUAGGCAGAAGAACUCAUCUUUCUUUCAUCGCCGGUCGUUCCAAACAACUCACAGUUGGAGAAUGGAGAAUGACCCUUCAAUUCCACAACCACGACUAGAUCGGCGGUUUAGCGUUUGUGACAGGGUUAUAUUUGGUCACAGGCCAAGUGACUAUGAUCCCAGUUAUAGAUGGGGUCACAGACCUAGUGAUUUUUCAAGGCCAAGUGAUUACUCCAGGCCUAGUGAUUACUCCAGAUGGGGUUCAUCAGAUGAUGAUAAUGGGCCGGGGGAUUCACCAAGUACUGUAUUGUACUCACCAAUGUCCUAUGGUGGUUCAUAUAGUGGAUCUACAUCUAUGGAAGAUGGAUAUAGGAGGCCAGGAUAUUCAAGGUACUGUCUUGUGGCAAGUAAACAAAUGGUUGGCAUAUUCCUCACAAUAUGGGUCCGGAGUGAAUUGAGAGAUCAUGUUAGAAACAUGAAAGUUUCUUGCGUUGGCAGAGGAUUGAUGGGUUAUCUUGGAAAUAAGGGAUCUAUUUCAGUUAGCAUGUCCUUGCAUGAAACGACCUUUUGCUUCAUCUGUAGUCAUCUAACCUCUGGACAAAAAGAAGGUGACGAGCUAAGAAGGAAUGCCGAUGUCAUGGAGAUUCUUAAGAAGACAAGGUUUCCGCGUGUUAACAGUGCGGCCGAUGAGAAAUCCCCAGAAACAAUUCUUCAGCAUGAUCGAAUUAUUUGGCUUGGGGAUUUGAAUUAUCGCAUCGCCCUCUCUUAUCGAUCUGCUAAGGCACUGGUUGAGAUGCAAAACUGGAGGGCAUUGUUGCAGAAUGACCAGUUACGAAUAGAACAGAGAAGAGGUCGGGUUUUUGUAGGCUGGAAUGAAGGAAAGAUUUAUUUCCCACCUACAUACAAAUAUUCCACUAAUUCAGACAGAUAUGCAGGAGAUGACAUGCACCCAAAGGAGAAGCGUCGCACUCCAGCUUGGUGCGAUAGAAUUUUAUGGCAUGGAGAAGGCCUCCAGCAAUUAUCUUAUGUACGUGGAGAAUCUAGGUUCUCUGAUCAUAGGCCAGUGUACGGCAUAUUUUGGGCAGAGGUUGAGUCUAGCCAGGGCCGAUUAAAGAAAAGUGUGAGUUACUCCAGUUCCAGGAUUGAGGUCGAGGAGCUCUUGCCAUACUCACAUGGUUACACAGAGCUAAACUUUUUCUGAUGGAUGAGGAGAUGGCAAUGAGGCAGUGCAGGUGGGAAUAACUUUGAAGAAAAUUUUUCCUUGAAGGGUGAUAGAGACAUUCCGUUGCCCACUAACCGAAAAAGGUGUAAAUUUUUGUAGCUAAUUAACUCCACACAUCAUCAAAUCAUUGUAACUUGGAUCAUCAAACGUAGUUAGCCACUAACAACCAGUUUCUGUUCAGUCACAUGAUUCGCUAACCUGAUUAACAAACACCCUACUUUUUGGCAGUUUUUGCACUGCAUUUCACAGGCAUAAAAUGUGAUUAGGAUGAACUUACCCCGUCAGGAAUUGCCAAGUGGGUGUCCAGAGAUUAAUUUAUUCAAUUUUUUCUUAGUUUAGGACGGCGUUUUUGUUUUUUGAUGACUGAAAGAAGAUGAAAGAUGAUGGUCAAUGCAAUCAUUUGAGAACUUACUUUUUGUUUUAAAUGAGAAGCCAAGUAAAGAUUGGAUGGAUAUUGAUUACUAAAGUGAGAGAAAAAGAAAAAGAAAAUGGAAAGAAUUAUAUAGUAUUGAAAUUUAUGUUAGAUUCCAGAAUGCCUCUUUGCUCUUUGUGUUGUUGCUGAUGAUUUUACUGAAAAAGGUUGUUUUGAUAAUCUGCAGCUUCAUCAUUGUUUUUCUUUUCUUCUUUUACUGUGGUUUGAAUAACAAACUAGAAAAGCAUAAGACAGUUUUACUGCUUUUGCUGGCUUAUUGGGAGCCAUGAUUUAUAGACUCCUCUUUUUAA